rnacentral:rRNA from 1 species
UGGGGAAUAUUGGGCAAUGGGCGCAAGCCUGACCCAGCAACGCCGCGUGAAGGAAGAAGGCUUUCGGAUUGUAAACUUCUUUUGACAGGGAAGAGCAGAAGACGGUACCUGUCGAAUAAGCCACGGCUAACUACGUGCC